UACGUAGGGUGCGAGCGUUGUCCGGAAUUACUGGGCGUAAAGAGCUCGUAGGUGGUUUGUCGCGUUGUCCGUGAAAACUCACAGCUCAACUGUGGGCGUGCGGGCGAUACGGGCAGACUGGAGUACUGCAGGGGAGACUGGAAUUCCUGGUGUAGCGGUGAAAUGCGCAGAUAUCAGGAGGAACACCGGUGGCGAAGGCGGGUCUCUGGGCCGAUACUGACGCUGAGGAGCGAAAGCGUGGGGAGCGAACAGG
rnacentral:rRNA from 1 species